UACGUAGGGGGCAAGCGUUGUCCGGAAUCAUUGGGCGUAAAGCGCGUGUAGGCGGGUCGUUAAGUCUGCUCUGAAAGUCCAAGGCUCAACCUUGGGAUGCGGGUGGAUACUGGCGACCUUGAGUCCGGAAGAGGCGAGUGGAAUUCCUGGUGUAGCGGUGAAAUGCGCAGAUAUCAGGAGGAACACCAAUGGCGAAGGCAGCUCGCUGGGACGUGACUGACGCUGAGACGCGAAAGCGUGGGGAGCAAACAGG
rnacentral:rRNA from 1 species